UACGUAGGUGGCAAGCGUUGUCCGGAAUUAUUGGGCGUAAAGCGCGCGCAGGUGGUUUCUUAAGUCUGAUGUGAAAGCCCACGGCUCAACCGUGGAGGGUCAUUGGAAACUGGGGGAACUUGAGUGCAGAAGAGGAAAGUGGAAUUCCAAGUGUAGCGGUGAAAUGCGUAGAGAUUUGGAGGAACACCAGUGGCGAAGGCGACUUUUCUGGUCUGUAACUGACACUGAGGCGCGAAAGCGUGGGGAGCGAACAGG
rnacentral:rRNA from 1 species